rnacentral:rRNA from 1 species
GAUGAACGCUGGCGGCGUGCUUAACACAUGCAAGUCGAACGAUGAAGCCCAGCUUGCUGGGUGGAUUAGUGGCGAACGGGUGAGUAACACGUGAGUAACCUGCCCUUAACUCUGGGAUAAGCCUGGGAAACUGGGUCUAAUACCGGAUAGGAGCGUCCACCGCAUGGUGGGUGUCGGAAAGACUUAUCGGUUUUGGAUGGACUCGCGGCCUAUCAGCUUGUUGGUGAGGUAAUGGCUCACCAAGGCGACGACGGGUAGCCGGCCUGAGAGGGUGACCGGCCACACUGGGACUGAGACACGGCCCAGACUCCUACGGGAGGCAGCAGUGGGGAAUAUUGCACAAUGGGCGCAAGCCUGAUGCAGCGACGCCGCGUGAGGGAUGACGGCCUUCGGGUUGUAAACCUCUUUCAGUAGGGAAGAAGCGAAAGUGACGGUACCUGCAGAAGAAGCACCGGCUAACUACGUG